AUGGAAUGUACUUGCAAGCUCACAACAACCAGAAGCAAUCAAGACAAACAACAACAUGGCAUUUACAGGUUUCUUAGCAAUGAUGAACAUCAUACUAUUAGAACAACAUGGCAUGUACAACAUGAUACAACUAGAACAAUACGAGCAUGGCAUGAACAUAUGAACAUGAUGAUACUAGCAUGCAACAUGAUAACGCUAUCAUGCACCAACUUACGGUGCUCGGGUUACCUCAUAACCAUCACAUGCAUAAGCUUACCAUCACGAACAUCAUACGAUCAUCUCAGGAUCCAAUCAACCUUGGUAUUACCAUACUGUAGUAAUCAUUAA
rnacentral:rRNA from 1 species